rnacentral:lncRNA from 1 species
GCACCGCCCUUCCUGCUGACUCCUAUCAGAUUGGGGCCAUCGCGGGCAUCGUGGUCCUUCUGCUUGUUGUGCUCUUCCUGCUGGCGCUGUUCGUUAUCUACAGACACAAGCAGAAGAGGAAGGAAUCGAGCAUGCCGGCCGUGACCUACACCCCUGCCAUGAGGGUUAUCAAUGCAGACUAUACCAUUGCAGAAACCCUGCCUCACAGCAAUGGCGGAAAUGCCAACAGCCACUACUUCACCAAUCCCAGUUAUCACACACUUAGCCAGUGUGCCGCGUCCCCUCAUGUGAACAACAGGGACAGGAUGACCAUUGCAAAGUCAAAAAACAAUCAACUGUUUGUGAAUCUUAAAAAUGUGAAUCCAGGGAAGAGAGGCGCUUUGGUGGACUGCACUGGGAC